AUUGAACGCUGGCGGCAUGCUUUACACAUGCAAGUCGAACGGUAACAGGCCGCAUGGUGCUGACGAGUGGCGAACGGGUGAGUAAUGCAUCGGAACGUGCCCAGUCGUGGGGGAUAACUACUCGAAAGAGUAGCUAAUACCGCAUACGAUCUAUGGAUGAAAGCGGGGGACCGUAAGGCCUCGCGCGAUUGGAUCGGCCGAUGUCAGAUUAGGUAGUUGGUGGGGUAAAGGCUCACCAAGCCAACGAUCUGUAGCUGGUCUGAGAGGACGACCAGCCACACUGGGACUGAGACACGGCCCAGACUCCUACGGGAGGCAGCAGUGGGGAAUUUUGGACAAUGGGCGCAAGCCUGAUCCAGCAAUGCCGCGUGCAGGAAGAAGGCCUUCGGGUUGUAAACUGCUUUUGUACGGAACGAAACGGCUCUGGUUAAUACCCGGGGCUAAUGACGGUACCGUAAGAAUAAGCACCGGCUAACUACGUG
rnacentral:rRNA from 1 species